rnacentral:rRNA from 1 species
UUUGAUCCUGGCUCAGAACGAACGCUGGCGGCGUGCUUAACACAUGCAAGUCGAACGCGAAAGGGGCUUCGGUCCUGAGUAAAGUGGCGCACGGGUGAGUAACGCGUGGAUAAUCUACCUGACAUUUUGGGAUAACAUUUCGAAAGGGGUGCUAAUACCGGAUAAGACCACGAGGCCUUAGGGCCAUGGGGUAAAAGGUGGGGACCUUCGGGCCUGCCGAUGUCAGAUGAGUCCGCGUACCAUUAGCUAGUUGGUGGGGUAAAGGCCUACCAAGGCGACGAUGGUUAGCUGGUCUGAGAGGAUGAUCAGCCACACUGGAACUGAGACACGGUCCAGACUCCUACGGGAGGCAGCAGUGGGGAAUUUUGCGCAAUGGGGGAAACCCUGACGCAGCAACGCCGCGUGAGUGAUGAAGGCCUUCGGGUCGUAAAGCUCUGUCAGGGGGGAAGAAGUGCAGUGGCGCUAAAAUCGUCAUUGCUUGACGGUACCUUCAAAGGAAGCACCGGCUAACUCCGUGCCAGCAGCCGCGGUAAUACGGAGGGUGCGAGCGUUGUUCGGAAUUAUUGGGCGUAAAGCGCGUGUAGGCGGUUUUUUAAGUCUGAUGUGAAAGCCCUGGGCUCAACCCGGGAAGUGCAUUGGAAACUGGGAGACUUGAAUACGGGAGAGGGCAGUGGGAAUUCCUGGUGUAGGAGUGAAAAUCCGUAGAUAUCAGGAGGAAC